GUAUUAGAGGCAUUGCCUGCCCAGUGACUAAAGUUAAACGGCCGCGGUAUCCUGACCGUGCAAAGGUAGCAUAAUCACUUGUUCCUUAAUUAGGGACUAGAAUGAAUGGCUAAACGAGGGUUCAACUGUCUCUUACUUUCAAUCAGUGAAAUUGACCUUCCAGUGAAGAGGCUGGAAUCUCCCAAUAAGACGAGAAGACCCUAUGGAGCUUUAAUUUACUAGUUCAACUUAUAUAAAAACAACCUAAUGGGCUAAAACAAAAUAAAUAUGAACUAAAAAAUUUCGGUUGGGGUGACCUCGGAGAAUAAAAAAUCCUCCGAAUGAUUUUAACCUAGACUCACAAGUCAAAGUAAUACUAAUAUCUUAUUGACCCAAUUAUUGAUCAACGGACCAAGUUACCCUAGGGAUAACAGCGCAAUCCUAUUUAAGAGUUCAUAUCGACAAUUAGGGUUUACGACCUCGAUGUUGGAUCAGGACAUCCCAAUGGUGCAGAAGCUAUUAAUGGUUCGUUUGUUCAACGAUUAAAGUCCUACGUGAUCU
rnacentral:rRNA from 1 species